GACAGAGGGUGCGAACGUUGUUCGGAAUUACUGGGCGUAAAGCGCGUGCAGGCUGUUCGGAAAGUCGGGUGUGAAAGCCCUGGGCUCAACCUAGGAAGUGCACUCGAAACUCCCGAACUGGAGUCCCGGAGAGGAAGGUGGAAUUCUCGGUGUAGAGGUGAAAUUCGUAGAUAUCGAGAGGAACAUCGGUGGCGAAGGCGGCCUUCUGGACGGUGACUGACGCUGAGACGCGAAAGCGUGGGGAGCAAACAGG
rnacentral:rRNA from 1 species